GGCGGACGGGGGAGUAAUGCUUGGGAACUUGCCUUUGCGAGGGGGAUAACAGUUGGAAACGACUGCUAAUACCGCAUAAUGUCUACGGACCAAAGGGGGCUUUUAGCUCUCGCGUGAAGAGAGGCCCAAGUGAGAUUAGCUAGUUGGUGAGGUAAAGGCUCACCAAGGCGACGAUCUCUAGCUGUUCUGAGAGGAAGAUCAGCCACACUGGGACUGAGACACGGCCCAGACUCCUACGGGAGGCAGCAGUGGGGAAUAUUGCACAAUGGGGGAAACCCUGAUGCAGCCAUGCCGCGUGUGUGAAGAAGGCCUUCGGGUUGUAAAGCACUUUCAGUUGUGAGGAAAGGUUGGUAGUUAAUACCUGCCAGCUGUGACGUUAACAACAGAAGAAGCACCGGCUAACUCCGUGCCAGCAGCCGCGGUAAUACGGAGGGUGCGAGCGUUAAUCGGAAUUACUGGGCGUAAAGCGCACGCAGGCGGUUUGUUAAGCUAGAUGUGAAAGCCCCGGGCUCAACCUGGGAUGGUCAUUUAGAACUGGCAGACUAGAGUCUUGGAGAGGGGAGUGGAAUUCCAGGUGUAGCGGUGAAAUGCGUAGAGAUCUGGAGGAACAUCAGUGGCGAAGGCGACUCCCUGGCCAAAGACUGACGCUCAUGUGCGAAGUGUGGGUAGCGAACAGGAUUAGAUACCCUGGUUAGUCCACACCGUAAACGCUGUCUACUUAGCUGUGUGUGUAUUUUAUACGUGCGUAGCGAAGCUACGCGCUAAGU
rnacentral:rRNA from 1 species